UGUCUACGGCCAUACCUAGGCGAAAACACCAGUUCCCGUCCGAUCACUGCAGUUAAGCGUCUGAGGGCCUCGUUAGUACUAUGGUUGGAGACAACAUGGGAAUCCGGGGUGCUGUAGGCUUCAUUUCGUUUUUUU